rnacentral:rRNA from 1 species
UACGUAGGGGGCAAGCGUUGUCCGGAAUUAUUGGGCGUAAAGAGCGCGUAGGCGGUCCGAUAAGUCGGCUGUGAAAGUCCAGGGCUCAACCCUGGAAAGCCGGCCGAUACUGUCGGACUAGAGUCCGGAAGAGGCGAGUGGAAUUCCCGGUGUAGCGGUGAAAUGCGCAGAUAUCGGGAGGAACACCAAUGGUGAAAACAGCUCGCUGGGGGUGUGCUGACGCUGAGACACGAAAGCCAGGGGAGCGAACGGG